UGCGUAGGCGGAAUAUUAAGUCAGUGGUGAAAUCCUGCGGCUCAACCGUAGAACUGCCAUUGAUACUGAUAUUCUUGAAUGUAGUUGAGGUAGGCGGAAUGUGUAAUGUAGCGGUGAAAUGCUUAGAUAUUACACAGAACACCGAUCGCGAAGGCAGCUUACUAAACUAUGAUUGACGCUGAGGCACGAAAGCGUGGGGAGCGAACAGGAUUAGAUACCCUGGUAGUCC
rnacentral:rRNA from 1 species